rnacentral:lncRNA from 1 species
GUUUGAUGGUACACCUACCAGACCUGAUGACUGAACGAAUCCAAUAAUACCUACAACAUGAUGUGAUGGGCACCUCCUGAUGGAAUGGAGCUGAUAAUACCCAGACUGUGAUGGGUACCUCCUGGCCAGGUGGAAAUGAUAAUACCCAGACUGUGAUGGGCACCUCCUGAUGGAAUGGAACUGAUAAUACCCAGACUGUGAUGGGCACCUCCUGGCCAGGUGGAGCUGAUAAUACCUAUAUUGUGAUGGGCACCUCCUGAUGGAAUGGAGCUGAUAAUACCCAGAUUGUGAUGUGCACCUCCUGAUGGAAUGGAGCUGAUGAUACCCAGACUGUGAUGGGCACCUCCUGAUGGAAUGGAGCUGAUGAUACCCAGACUGUGAUGGGCACCUCCUGAUGGAAUGGAGCUGAUGAUACCCAGAUUGUCAUGGGCGCCUCCAGACAUAUUUAGGGCCCAGCAGCUCUGGGCUUUUCAAAUGUACCAUUUGUUGAAGACUGAUGAGAGUGCUUGA